rnacentral:rRNA from 1 species
AUUGAACGCUGGCGGCAUGCCUUACACAUGCAAGUCGAACGGCAGCGGACCUUCGGGUGCCGGCGAGUGGCGAACGGGUGAGUAAUAUAUCGGAACGUACCUUUCAGGGGGGGAUAACGUAGCGAAAGUUACGCUAAUACCGCAUAUUCUGUGAGCAGGAAAGCAGGGGAUCGCAAGACCUUGCGCUGAUUGAGCGGCCGAUAUCAGAUUAGCUAGUUGGUGAGGUAAAGGCUCACCAAGGCGACGAUCUGUAGCGGGUCUGAGAGGAUGAUCCGCCACACUGGAACUGAGACACGGUCCAGACUCCUACGGGAGGCAGCAGUGGGGAAUUUUGGACAAUGGGCGCAAGCCUGAUCCAGCCAUGCCGCGUGAGUGAAGAAGGCCUUCGAGUUGUAAAGCUCUUUCGGCCGGGAAGAUAAUGACGGUAACCGUAGAAGAAGCCCGGCUAACUUCGUGCCAGCAGCCGCGGUAAUGUGUGACUGUC